CCUACGGGAGGCAGCAGUAGGGAAUAUUGCUCAAUGGGGGAAACCCUGAAGCAGCAACGCCGCGUGGAUGAUGAAGGUUCUCGGAUCGUAAAGCCCUAUCGUCAGAGAAGAUAAUGACGGUAUCUAACGAAUAAGCACCGGCUAACUCCGUGCCAGCAGCCGCGGUAAUACGGAGGGUGCAAGCGUUACUCGGAUUCACUGGGCGUAAAGAGCGCGUAGGCGGGAGAGCAAGUCAGAUGUGAAAUCCUAGGGCUUAACCAUAGAACUGCAUUUGAAACUGUUAUGCUAGAGUAUGGGAGAGGUAGGUGGAAUUCUUGGUGUAGGGGUGAAAUGCGUAGAGAUCAGGAGGAAUACUGAUUGCGAAGGCGACCUGCUAGAACGUAACUGACGCUGAUGCGCGAAAGCGUGGGGAGCAAACAGGAUUAGAUACCCGGGUAGUC
rnacentral:rRNA from 1 species